rnacentral:antisense_RNA from 1 species
AAGCAAAAAGCUUGUGGUCAGGCAUGACAUUGCUCACAUUGCUUCCAGUGUUUUUUUAUAGCCAGCAUGGGUGCUGGCUUUUUUUU